UGAGAAACACGCGGAAUUAGCGUAUGCAUGCCGAUAAUGAUCUCGGAGCUUCUUCUAAUCCCGGGAGCAUCUUAACCUUGGAUGUGCUUCGGUUCCUAGGUGGCAUUUCAUCUUGUACAUCGACCAAGGGUUGUCUGCACUAUUAUUAGAGGAACCAGAGGAAACUAUAGGCCAGGUUUUCUCACUCUGAUGUUUGGCAUCUUCAAUUUGAGAAGCAUCUUUACAACCUGGAGGUCAAGUUGCUGAUUGUCAGGAAUUCUGAUUAGAAAAUUUCGGGACCGGAGUUUCAUGGUGACCCAUUUCCAGUCAGAAACUAAAAAAUUUCAGACACUUGUGACAUUUAUGUGUGGAAUUUCUAUUCGAAUCGUGCGCCAAUUCAUUAUUUUCAUCACCAAUUCAACUCCAUUGGUUCGUUUCUUCAACUGCAGUGCAAUAAAUUAAGUGCGUUUAAGAAGAAGGAAAAAAAAUUGAAAGGAAAAGAUGCUACGUUUGGAUAAAACUGCGCCGAAGGAGUUAUUUUACUUAUGAAUAAGUUUUUGGGGAUUUUACUAAGAGAUUUAUUCUACUUUCAAAACGUUUUUGAGGAUUCUACUAAGAAAUUCAUUCUUUCAAUACGAUUUUGAAAAUUCUACUGCAAGAUUUAUUCUACUUUCAAAAAAUUUUUCAAAAUCCCACUGAGAGGUUUAUUCUGCUUCCAAGACAAAUUCAAGAAUUCUUUUGAGAUUUUUCUUCAUCUUAUUUACUAGAGAUGUUUGUGGAUAUUAAUGAAAAACUUAUUCUACUUGCGAUGGAUUUUUGAGGAGCCUGCCGAAAGAAUUAUUCAACGAAUACAUUUUCGAAAAUUUUAUUGAGAAACGUGAGAGACUGAUUCUUCCUGUGAUGAAAUUUUGAGUCCUAUAAGAUCUUUCUU